GGUAAAAUGGUUGAGUAAGCAUUAGACUGUAAAUCUAAAGACAGAGGUUUGAGUCCUCUUUUUACCA
rnacentral:tRNA from 1 species